rnacentral:lncRNA from 1 species
AGAAAGCUUAGUGAGAUUGGAAGGAAGCUGAGCAUAGAGAAGAUAGUGAGGUUGUAAGAAGAAUGGCGUGCUGGGGGAGGGGAGACUGUGAGCUAGAGGGAGUGUAGAGUAGAGGAAGCUGUGAGAAGGGUAGUGUGGAUUUGAAGUGUGUAGCAGGUACUUGCUAUACUGACAGCACCUUUGAUCCACUGAUGGGCUGGGCUGGAAGCUGCAGUUCUUUCCACUGUACAAGUAAGGGAAGUGACUACUUUUGGCAGAUGGGAACCAGGUUCACCAUUUUCUAAGGAAGCCUGGCUUCUAUGCAAUCCCCAGAAGCCCACCUGUAGUUCAGGUAGAGUUCAUUUCUGGAUAUUUGGACUAUCUUUUGGAAUUUUGGGAAACUGGAGUUUGCUUUGGACCUAACCACCACCCUCCUCAAUUUGUAUUAUUUGGGGGUGUUCUCUGUGCUGUUACUGUCCAGAGAUUUUAUUUUCGUCUUUGUCUGUUUCUUUACCUGUUCCUGUAAUAAAGUACCCUGCCCGAAAGCAACUUAAGGGAGAAGUGGGUCAUUUCAGCUCACAGCUUCAAGAUUUGUCCACCAUGAUGGGUAUUUGAAGGGUUGCAGAAGUCAAAGCGGGUGGUCAUAGCACAUUCCCAGUCAGAUAAAGAGAGACGAAUGCGUGCUGUUGCUCGAGGCCCUGUCUCCACUUACAUGAUCCAGAGACACAGCUGGGGAAGUUUGCUUCCACCAUAGGUGAAUAUUUCCACUUCAAUUAAUGCGACCAAGGGAAUCUCAAACAGGGAUCUUACAGGCAAGUGCAGAUUCUGUCAGGUUGACAGCACAAACCACCAUACACCCCCAUGCCUCUGUAUCUUAAAGAAACUAUGGUAUUAAUGUAAUAAACAUGGCAAGUACUGUAAGAAAGUAGCCAUAAAAAGCCAACAUAAUACAAUGAGAGCAUUAGGAGAUCCUAUUUAGAUACUGUUGUCUGUGUCAGACUAAACCUGAGGGCUGAGCUCAUCUCUCUCUCAAGUGUAAAAUAGCUUAUACAGCCAAACACUUUUACUCCAGAGAAACAGGAAAUGAGCCUUUGUCCCAAGCUCUUGUUUUCAUUCAGCGCUUUUGAAGGCAGGGAAAUGGAUUACACUCAGAAAUAAAACUUGCUUAGUCAUAAGUAACCGAAGAAAUAUUUCGAUUCUUUGUCGUGUAUUCUGUAUUCUGAUUUUCUCUGAGGUAUUUGGUUCACUGUUCAAGUGAAUGCAUUUUUUUUUGGAAUAGUCUUUAUUCAUUUGUGUGCACGUGUAUAUAAGCCAUAAUCUCAGCUGAUAAAAGCUGAUAAAGCGAGAUUAGAAAAGCCAAAAUAGUAAUGUGAGUGUAGAGUUAGGAGGAUGACUUGGGGAAAUCUGUUCUCUCCUGUUACAUUCUGUUACAUGGGUUCUGGGGAUUGAACCCAUGUCAUUUGGCCUCACCCUUCUGGGUCUUACUGGCCCUCAAGUGGGUAAGUCUACUUGGUACAAGGCUCUCCUCUGUACAAAUGUUCAAGAGACUGCAGUCAAAGUGGCAUAUUCCCUAUCCUCUAGCAGGCUGUUUAGUGCUGCGAGGCCUAUAAUCCCAGCACUCUGGAGCUAGAAGCAGGAGAAUUAGUUGUUCAAGAGCAUCUUCAGCUAUAUAGCAAGUUGAAAGCUUGCCUGUGAUACAUCACACUCUGUGUUUGUUUUUUAACACGUGAAGAAACCCAAGGUAUAGGAACAGAAAAAAAAAGCUGUAUAUGAUUACAUAACUUUCUCAUGAGGGAGGCACUAAACAGUUGCUAUUUAAUUGGUAGUAGGAAACCCAGGCAUAAUCUUUCCUUCAUAUGUCAACUGUGUUAACAUCCAUCUGUUGUAGUGGAAGCUUUUUAGUAACCAAAAGCAUUGUCUCAAGCAUGGAGAGGUCAACGGGGGUACUCAAAAGAAACAGAACAGAUAGGGUUAUCUACAUAGAAAAGGAGUCCAUUAUAUUGGCUUACGUAAUACGGGCUCUGUAGUGCAACAGUGCCCCCCUCCCCAGCAUCCUGGAGAGCUGAGAAUUCAAUCUGUGAGGCUACAAACUCCCAAUGUCCCAUCUGAUGCUGAAGGCAAGGAGGGGUUGUGGAGAGCCAGGUCUUCAGUCAAUGCUGAGUGAAGAAGAAGCUGGGUUCAGAUGCCACACACUCACCAGCAAGAAACUAAGGCUUGCUCAAGCACUAUUUUUUCCUUAGACCUCUUUGUCUUUGAGCCAUUCCUGGAAGGGCUUCCCCUCCUGGAAAUGCCCUCACAGAAGACCCACCAAAGAAGGCUCAUCUCUUAGGUGAUUCCAUCUUACAGUCUUCUAAGUCUUAAUACAAUCAGCUAACAAACAUACCAGCUAGUCUCCUCACCAUGGCUGGAAAAAAAACAAUAUUCGCUUCCUUUGUCCCAGUGUGUAGGGCAGUGACUAAGCAUGGUUUGUAUUGAAAAGACCACACUUUCUGCUGAACCUUCUGCAAUGUCAGUUAGGUGGGUAAAAGCUGAAUGAUGUGUGGAGAGUUUGAAGUGUUUCAAGUCCAGAGCCAAAUUGUCUUGUGGGCAUCAUUAGUCCUUGUAACAGUCGUUCGCUAUCUUCCUCUCUACCUGACCUAACAUCUUGGUAAACAUUAGGUGAAUCCUUUGCAAUGGAGCAAAGGGACCCAAGUUUCCAACCAUGCGAAAGACGGGGAAGGCCAUCAGAUAGCACCUGAGACUGAUAGCACAGCUUUCCCUGCCUGCCUGAGGUUCCCACCACUGCAUUUGAAAAGUGCUUUCAUUCAUGAUUGUCUUUGUUCCUCUGCUAUAAAAAUUUCCACCAAACUGUUACUACAUUGGGAGCAUAGUAUUUGGGAUCAUCUAAUUCCAAGCAUAUGUUCACUCGUGAUUGGCUCCAGAGUGAAGUCUUUCCCCUUUGAGGUGAGAGCUGUGCUUUUGUGUGGACAGUAUCAACAGUGAGCAUCCCAUUCUCACCGAUGGAGGCGGUGUGCUGUGUAGGCAUGCUCCCCUUGUCAGUCUCACGGAAAUCCCACGAAGGCUAAGAGCUGUCAUUAUCUCUGCUUUUACAGA